rnacentral:rRNA from 1 species
GAUGAACGCUGGCGGCGUGCCUAACACAUGCAAGUCGAGCGAUUCUCCUCGGAGAAGAGCGGCGGACGGGUGAGUAACGCGUGGGUAACCUGCCCUGUACACACGGAUAACAUACCGAAAGGUAUGCUAAUACGAGAUAAUAUGCUUUUAUCGCAUGGUAGAAGUAUCAAAGCUCCGGCGGUACAGGAUGGACCCGCGUCUGAUUAGCUAGUUGGUAAGGUAACGGCUUACCAAGGCGACGAUCAGUAGCCGACCUGAGAGGGUGAUCGGCCACAUUGGAACUGAGACACGGUCCAAACUCCUACGGGAGGCAGCAGUGGGGAAUAUUGCACAAUGGGCGAAAGCCUGAUGCAGCAACGCCGCGUGAGCGAUGAAGGCCUUCGGUCGUAAAGCUCUGUCCUCAAGGAAGAUAAUGACGGUACUUGAGGAGGAAGCCCCGGCGUAACUACGUG